rnacentral:misc_RNA from 1 species
ACCUACUGUUUAAUUUUGAGGGUUCGUUUUUACGAAUACUCAAAAUUAGCACUUUAAGCAACGGGAUUUAUCCGUUGGCGCUGUGCUUUAGCACUUUGAAAACUGCAUAUAUAUAUUUAGUGAUAUGACAUCUAAUUUGUAAUAUAUAAAGCUGAUAACUUUUUAAAAUUAUCGAAGUUGAUAGCUUCUAAUCUAUCAAACCUUUUUAACUGGUCAA